rnacentral:rRNA from 1 species
UACGUAGGUGGCAAGCGUUGUCCGGAUUUAUUGGGUUUAAAGGGUGCGUAGGCGGCUUUGUAAGUCAGGGGUGAAAUAUGGCAGCUCAACUGUCAAGGUGCCAUUGAUACUGCAGAGCUUGAGUACAGAUGAGGUAGGCGGAAUUGACGGUGUAGCGGUGAAAUGCUUAGAUAUCGUCAAGAACACCUAUAGCGAAGGCAGCUUACUAGGCUGUAACUGACGCUGAGGCACGAAAGUGUGGGGAUCAAACAGG